CUGCUGCCUCCCGUAGGCGUCUGGUCCGUGUCUCAGUACCAGUGUGGGGGACCUUCCUCUCAGAACCCCUACGCAUCGUCGCCACGGUGGGCCGUUACCCCGCCGUCUAGCUAAUGCGCCGCAUGCCCAUCCUCUUCCGAUGAAUCUUUCCUCGAUCUCGGAUGCCCGAAACCGAUAUACGCGGGAUUAGCCUCCCUUUCGGAAGGUUGUCCCCCUGAAGAGGGCAGGUUGCAUACGUGUUACUCACCCGUGCGCCGGUCGCCGG
rnacentral:rRNA from 1 species